rnacentral:rRNA from 1 species
CCUACGGGUGGCAGCAGUAGGGAAUAUUGCACAAUGGGGGAAACCUUGAUGCAGCAACGCCGCGUGGAGGAUGAAGGUUUUCGGAUUGUAAACUCCUUUUGUUAGAGAAGAUAAUGACGGUAUCUAACGAAUAAGCACCGGCUAAUUCCGUGCCAGCAGCCGCGGUAAUACGGAGGGUGCAAGCGUUACUCGGAAUGACUGGGCGUAAAGAGCGCGUAGGGGGGAUAGCAAAUCAGAUGUGAAAUCCUAUGGGUUAACCAUAGAACUGCAUUUGAAACUGUUAUUCUAGAGGAUGGGAGAGGUAGGUGGAAUUCUAGGUGUAGGGGUAAAAUCCGUAGAGA